GCCUUCGUGGUGUAGUGGUCAGCGCGCUCGGCGCGUAUUCGAGAGGUCCGUGGUUCGAGUCCUGGCGAGGGCA
rnacentral:tRNA from 1 species